CACAGGACAGGUAGCCAGGCUGG
rnacentral:miRNA from 1 species